rnacentral:rRNA from 1 species
CACGUAGGGCGCGAGCGUUGUCCGGAAUUAUUGGGCGUAAAGAGCUCGUAGGCGGCCUGUUGCGUCCGCUGUGAAAGCCCGGGGCUUAACCCCGGGUCGGCAGUGGAUACGGGCAGGCUAGAGGUAGGUAGGGGAGAAUGGAAUUCCCGGUGUAGCGGUGAAAUGCGCAGAUAUCGGGAGGAACACCGGUGGCGAAGGCGGUUCUCUGGGCCUUACCUGACGCUGAGGAGCGAAAGCGU